AACCUUACCAUCCCUUGACUUCCACAGAAGAGACCAGAGAUGGACUUGUGCCUUCGGGAACUGUGUGACAGGUGCUGCAUGGCUGUCGUCAGCUCGUGUUGUGAAAUGUGGGGUUAAGUCCCGCAACGAGCGCAACCCCUAUCCUUAUUUGCCAGCGCGUUAUGGCGGGAACUCUAAGGAGACUGCCGGUGAUAAACCGGAGGAAGGUGGGGACGACGUCAAGUCAUCAUGGCCCUUACGGGAUGGGCUACACACGUGCUACAAUGGCAAGUACAGAGGGCAGCAAUACCGCGAGGUGGAGCGAAUCCCACAAAGCUUGUCGUAGUCCGGAUUGGAGUCUGCAACUCGACUCCAUGAAGUCGGAAUCGCUAGUAAUCGUAGAUCAGAAUGCUACGGUGAAUACGUUCCCGGGCCCUGUACGCACCGCCCGUC
rnacentral:rRNA from 1 species